UCUGGUUAAAUAAAAUAAUCUUCAAUCAUUUUCCAAAUCUGAUGAUACAGCAAGACCAGCCCUAUUUGUAUAUAAACACGAAUGCGCGUACGCAGCGAUCCAUCAUUAGGAGGCACGGCUACAUUGAUUUAUUACGAAAUGCCGCUAUGUUCCCAUAGUAGCCGAGUUAUAGCAAAUUAAUUACAUACUGCUUCAUCAUUUUGAGUAGCACUUGCCAAAAUGUUGCGAAACAAAAAUAUACUUAGAGUGAGUUGCACCAACUUACUUUAACGAUAACAAAACUCGAACCAACGGUCAAAUCUCUGGUUAAGUCAAUAAUGGAUUGCACCAUUUUAACAAUGGUUAAAAUGACGUCAUAUUUAACGAUAACCGUAACCAGUCAAUUUUGGCCGGUUAUCGUUAUUGCUAAGUUAACAAAUGUCAAAAUCUUGUCAAAAUAAUAACCUAGUCCGUUGUUUUCUGUUGUUUUAUCAUAUUUAAGUAUAAAAAAAUUAAAAAUGUCUUUAGUACGUGAUAUUUUAUGGGAAUCUAGUUCUUCUGACGACGAAAAUUAUAAUGAUUUACCUAAUUCUCGAAAGAAAAAAGUGUAUCAACCACGUGUUAAUCGAUUCCUAAAAUGGAAUGAGCAGGAGUUCUUGGAUAGAUUUCGGAUUUCCAAAGGUUUAGCACGAGCCCUGGCUUCUCAUUUAGCACCAUUGCUCCAAACCAGAACCAUGAAAAACUUUGCAGUUACUCCAGAGCAGCAAAUAAUAAUGGCAUUGGAAUUUUACGCAUGUGGUUCUUUUCAACGCUGCAUUGGGGAUGCUGCAGGUGUUCACAAAUCUACUGUUUGUCGAAUAAUUCAUCGAGUGAGCAGAGCUAUAGCCGGACUAAGAACAGACUGGAUUGCAAUGCCUAAAAAUAUUGAGGAAAUGGAAACUGAGGCCAAAAAAUUUUAUGAAAUAUGUGCAUUUCCUAAAGUAAUAGGAACUAUAGACUGCACACAUAUACCAAUCAAAUCGCCAGGUGGUGCAGAUGCAGAAACAUAUAGAAAUAGAAAACAGGUAUUUUCUCUUAAUGUGCAAGUAAUCACAAAUGCUGAGAUGUACAUUACAAAUAUAGUUGCUAGAUGGCCUGGAAGCUGUCACGACAGCCAUAUUUUCAACAGCAGUGUCAUUAAGGGACGCCUAGAAGAUGGAGAAUUUGAUGGUUUUUGGUUACUAGGAGACAAAGGUUAUGCCAAUAAACCAUAUUUGCUAACACCUCUACGUAAUCCUGUUACAGAAGCUGAAAAACUGUACAAUGAAAGUCAUAUUCGUACUAGAAAUAUUGUAGAACGCAGUUUUGGUUGUUGGAAAAAAAGGUUUCCUGCAGUGUCAUGGAAACUCAGAACAAAUACAGCAAGAGCCCAAUGUGCUAUAGUGGCAAUGGCUGUCCUAUAUAAUAUUUGCAAGAAAUUGAGAGACCCGAUGCCAACAUGUUACGACUCUGAUAAUGAAUCAUCAGAUUCUGAUGACAAUGACCUGACCUCUGCAUAUGUUAGCCAGCAUGACGAGCAUAAUAGGAAUAUGCUAAUAAAUACUUAUUUUGAUAGAUUACAUUAAGAUAGACUAUGUUUUAAAUGAAUAAAUAAAAAAACUUCAAAAAUAAAAA